rnacentral:rRNA from 1 species
GACGAACGCUGGCGGCGUGCUUAACACAUGCAAGUCGAGCGGUAAGGCCCUUUCGGGGGUACACGAGCGGCGAACGGGUGAGUAACACGUGGGUGACCUGCCCUCAGCUCUGGGAUAAGCCUGGGAAACCGGGUCUAAUACCGGAUAUGACUCCAUGACGCAUGUUGUGGGGUGGAAAGCCUUGUGCGGCUGAGGAUGGGCCCGCGGCCUAUCAGCUUGUUGGUGGGGUGAUGGCCUACCAAGGCGACGACGGGUAGCCGGCCUGAGAGGGCGACCGGCCACACUGGGACUGAGACACGGCCCAGACUCCUACGGGAGGCAGCAGUGGGGAAUCUUGC